rnacentral:tRNA from 1 species
GGUUGUGGCUCAAUGGCAGAGUGCUUGCCUAGCAUGAGUAAGGUACUGGGUUUGAUUCUCAGCACCA